ensembl:lncRNA
CCGAUUUACACGUAGAAACUUUGUUCAGGAAGAUUUCUCAGUAGCUCAGAGGACAGGCUUUUUACACAGCCUUGUAAGAGAAUGUCUGUCAAUGCUGGAGAGCGUUUGUGAUGCUGAAGCAGUGACCAGUUUUUCUGUUUCUUCUCUGGAGAUGCACAAUGAGGGACGUCUGCAGCGACUGAGAAAGAGUCUCACCACAUCCUGACAUGAGGAAAAAGACUUUAUUGAAGACUACAAUGAGAAAAACUAUCAGACAGCAGAUGGCUGCAUUCAAGAGAAGAAGACCAUCAAACAUCCAUGUCAGCUGAUGGAGGUCCAAGAGUCUCACCAAACAAACAACCUACAGAGUGAAGACCUGGAAUCUGAUUGGACGGCCUCCUAUUCAGCCACUUUAGGCUGUUAGAUUGUUCCAGAUAAGACAAGUACAAGAUACUUCAGAGCCGUUCUACCACGAGCCUGACAGGAAGAACUCCAACAGCUACUGAAUGUUCCUGUGGUUCCCUCAAGGCUACAGGAGGAGCCCU